UCCGGUUUGUCACCGGCAGUCUCCGUUAAGUGCCCAACUUAAUGAUGGCAACAACGGACAAGGGUUGCGCUCGUUGCGGGACUUAACCCAACAUCUCACGACACGAGCUGACGACAGCCAUGCAGCACCUGUGCGCACAUUCUCUUGCGAGCACUCCUUCAUCUCUGAAAGAUUUGUACCAUGUCAAGGGUAGGUAAGGUUUUUCGCGUUGCAUCGAAUUAAUCCACAUCAUCCACCGCUUGUGCGGGUCCCCGUCAAUUCCUUUGAGUUUUAAUCUUGCGACCGUACUCCCCAGGCGGUCAACUUCCCGCGUUAGCUGCGUUACCAAAGCCUAUCUAGCUCCAACAACUAGUUGACAUCGUUUAGGGCGUGGACUAC
rnacentral:misc_RNA from 1 species